AGCGGCGGACGAGUGAGUAAUGCCUAGGAAUCUGCCUGGUAGUGGGGGACAACGUUUCGAAAGGAACGCUAAUACCGCAUACGUCCUACGGGAGAAAGCAGGGGACCUUCGGGCCUUGCGCUAUCAGAUGAGCCUAGGUCGGAUUAGCUAGUUGGUGAGGCAAUGGCUCACCAAGGCUACGAUCCGUAACUGGUCUGAGAGGAUGAUCAGUCACACUGGAACUGAGACACGGUCCAGACUCCUACGGGAGGCAGCAGUGGGGAAUAUUGGACAAUGGGCGAAAGCCUGAUCCAGCCAUGCCGCGUGUGUGAAGAAGGUCUUCGGAUUGUAAAGCACUUUAAGUUGGGAGGAAGGGCAGUAAGCUAAUACCUUGCUGUUUGACGUUACCGACAGAAUAAGCACCGGCUAACUCUGUG
rnacentral:rRNA from 1 species